rnacentral:rRNA from 1 species
GAUGAACGCUGGCGGCGUGCCUAAUACAUGCAAGUCGAGCGAACGGACGAGAAGCUUGCUUCUCUGAUGUUAGCGGCGGACGGGUGAGUAACACGUGGAUAACCUACCUAUAAGACUGGGAUAACUUCGGGAAACCGGAGCUAAUACCGGAUGAUAUUUUGAACCGCAUGGUUCAAAAGUGAAAGACGGUCUUGCUGUCACUUAUAGAUGGAUCCGCGCUGCAUUAGCUAGUUGGUAAGGUAACGGCUUACCAAGGCAACGAUGCAUAGCCGACCUGAGAGGGUGAUCGGCCACACUGGAACUGAGACACGGUCCAGACUCCUACGGGGGGCAGCAGUAGGGAAUCUUCCGCCAUGGGCGAAAGCCUGACGGAGCAACGCCGCGUGAGUGAUGAAGGUCUUCGGAUCGUAAAACUCUGUUAUUAGGGAAGAACAUAUGUGUAAGUAACUGUGCACAUCUUGACGGUACCUAAUCAGAAAGCCACGGCUAACUACGUG